AUUGAACGCUGGCGGCAUGCUUUACACAUGCAAGUCGAACGGUAACAGGUUAAGCUGACGAGUGGCGAACGGGUGAGUAAUGCAUCGGAACGUGCCCGGUCGUGGGGGAUAACGCAGCGAAAGCUGCGCUAAUACCGCAUACGAUCUGAGGAUGAAAGCGGGGGACCGUAAGGCCUCGCGCGAUCGGAGCGGCCGAUGUCAGAUUAGGUAGUCGGUGGGGUAAAGGCUCACCAAGCCGACGAUCUGUAGCUGGUCUGAGAGGACGACCAGCCACACUGGGACUGAGACACGGCCCAGACUCCUACGGGAGGCAGCAGUGGGGAAUUUUGGACAAUGGGCGCAAGCCUGAUCCAGCAAUGCCGCGUGCAGGAAGAAGGCCUUCGGGUUGUAAACUGCUUUUGUACGGAGCGAAAAGGCUCUCUCUAAUACAGGGGGCUCAUGACGGUACCGUAAGAAUAAGCACCGGCUAACUACGUGCCAGCCGCCGCCGUAAAAC
rnacentral:rRNA from 1 species